rnacentral:rRNA from 1 species
CGUACACUCCUGCGGGAGGCGGCAGUAGGGAAUCUUCGGCAAUGGGGGCAACCCUGACCGAGCAACGCCGCGUGAGUGAAGAAGGUUUUCGGAUCGUAAAGCUCUGUUGUAAGUCAAGAACGAGUGUGAGAGUGGAAAGUUCACACUGUGACGGUAGCUUACCAGAAAGGGACGGCUAACUACGUGCCAGCAGCCGCGGUGAUACGUAGGUCCCGAGCGUUGUCCGGAUUUAUUGGGCGUAAAGCGAGCGCAGGCGGUUUGAUAAGUCUGAAGUUAAAGGCUGUGGCUCAACCAUAGUUCGCUUUGGAAACUGUCAAACUUGAGUGCAGAAGGGGAGAGUGGAAUUCCAUGUGUAGCGGUGAAAUGCGUAGAUAUAUGGAGGAACACCGGUGGCGAAAGCGGCUCUCUGGUCUGUAACUGACGCUGAGGCUCGAAAGCGUGGGGAGCGAACAGGAUUAGAAACCCGUGUAGUCCCAUG